ACUAAAAACGAGGAGUGGAGUCAAAACAUAUUUUGCACAAGAAAAAUAUACACCAAAGUUGUAAAAUAUUAGUGUACUCGCAAUGGAUCCUAUGGAAGAAAAUGUUUUCUUAGAAGAGCAUAUGAAAUUAGCGUUCGGUGUUAUGAACGAUUUACGAAAAAGGAGAGAAUUAUGUGACAUCGUUCUUCGUGUCGAAGAACUCGAGAUCUAUGCUCAUAAGCUUGUCCUGGCCUCAUUCAGCCCAUACUUCUACGCAAUGUUUACAAAUGACGUCGUGGAAAGUCGCCAAAACAGUAUCACAUUGAAGUCGAUGGAUCCAAGAAGCGUUGAACUUUUGAUCGAAUUUGCUUACACAGCACAGAUUAAGAUUACUGAAGAAAAUGUACAAUAUUUGCUACCUGUGGCUUGUAUAUUACAAAUCUGUCCAGUCAAAAAGGCUUGUUGCGACUUUUUACAAUCACAGCUUGAUCCCUCGAACUGCAUUGGCAUUAAAGACUUCGCGGAGAUUUACGGUUGUGUUGAUUUAACCAAGGCAGCUGAAAAGUUUAUGUUUCGUCACUUUUUGCAAGUGUCAGAAAGCGAGGAGUUUGAAGACUUGUCCAGGGAGCGGUUGGUUGAUUUUAUUAGUCGUGAUGAACUUUUUGUCAAGUCGGAAGAUGAGGUGGGGUGCGCUGCACUAGAGUCUAUUUCUUGAUCAGUUCCUGUUACCAUUUCCUGUUAAUCUGAUUUUUCACAUGGUCAGAAGAAAAAAGUGCAGGACAAGUAACAUGUUGAAGCUGUUAAGCAAAUUUGUAGAGUAUUAUGUAUAAAACGUAACCUUCAUUUUAGAUUGCUCACAGUCUGUGGUUUCUCUUAGGAUUCAACAAGUGUUUAUUCCUGCAAUCUUUAACACAAUAGGGGAGGUAUAAAUUAGAUGGGGUUAGAACAAGCCUUGCCCUUGUCAGAUCUCAAUCCCUUCUUGUCUUAUAGCCCUCAUCUCUCAUUGAUGUUAGAGUGAAAAACUGUCACCUUUAUCUGGCAUGAAAGUAUGCAUGAUAUUUGUCUACAGACGUUGUCUGUUCUUGUCUGUUCCAGGAAGGAGACAGUUUUCUGAGAGAAUCCUGACUCCCUUUGGGGUUUGAGCCAGAAAAUUCCUGCCAGAUGU